rnacentral:rRNA from 1 species
AGACGUCUACAUUAGAUACCCCCUGUAGUCCCAGCCGUAAACUAUGCGCGUUAGGUGUAUCGGUGACCACGAGUCACCGAGGUGCCGAAGGGAAACCGUGAAACGUGCCGCCUGGGAAGUACGGUCGCAAGGCUGAAAACUUAAAGGAAUUGGCGGGGAGCACCACAACAGGUGGAGCCUGCGGUUUAAUUGGACUCAACGCCGGGAAGCUCACCGGAUAGGACAGCAGAAUGAUUGCCGGGCUGAAGACCCUGCAUGACUAGCUG